UGUAUAUGCAAUACUUUGUAGUUUUAUAUCUUUUGUUAUUCUGUCAAUAGAAUAUUAUAUUUAUAUUUAAUAAUGACAACACAUAUAGGUCCGUUUUGGAUCUGAAGUGUAUUCUAAUAAAAAAAAAAAAAACUGGACUAUUUUUAACGGUUUGCUACUGCGCAUGAGGUCAAAGUUCAAAAUUGACCGCUAAUUUCCAGGAGUGUAUUUCAGCCCAAAGCGAAAUUUUUUCACCCCUUAAACCUGGACGACUCAAGUUGGUCUCGAUAUGUCCAGGAAUAUGUUUGGAACGAAAAUAUAUGUAUAAAACUGUAUAUUUAUCCGGAAAUAGUGUUUUUAAAAUGUAUGUGUUGAAUAUCAAACGGUGGGUGUUUUGCAAUAUCCCCAAUAACGAAAAUUCCGAGUGCGAGCAAAUUCAAUUUUUACAUUGAAGUCUAUGAGGAUCAGUUUUUUCGAAGGCGUCUAGGGUAGAGUUCAACUAAACCUUUGGCGUUUCCACCGUACAAGCGCUGACCCCAACCCGACUCUAACCCGACUCUGACCCGAUUUGAACCCUCGAUGGAAACGUAGUCUAGGAGAGAUUUCGUCCUAACUUGCCAUAAGUUGGAUACAGAAACUGCAGAUUUAACAAGACUCUAUCGUGAUACUUUCUUAUAUAACAUAACACAUGGACGUUGUCAUAAUUACUGCGUACAUUUCAGUAAAAAAACCUCUGAAGUGGAUAUUCUAGUAAAAGAAGAAACAAUUACAUAUAAAAUUAUUAUUCUCGAAUACUAAUUUCAUGAUAAUAAAGGGUUUAAAAAGAAAAAUGAAAAAUACAAAUUGCAAAGUGAUCAAUGAAUUUUUUCUAUCUUUCCAAGAACUGGAAUUAGAAUUUAUAAAAUUACAAAACGAUUUAUUCACUUGACAUGCUGUGGAAAGAUUGCAAAAGCCAAUUAAUAAAUUUACAACAAGAAAAUUUAUCAUGUCAAAAAAGAAAUAACACAAGUAAUGAAAGAAGAAUAGAGUACCAGUGAUAUAGCAUUAAUGUAAAAUAAAACUCGUUAAAGUAGAACAAGGUUUUCUUAUCCAAGAAAGAUAUAGGAAAAAUUAAUCCAUGACAUGAUCUAUGUGAUCAUGUGGAUCUAUGUGACAUGGGGACAGAUAUAAUAGCAGGGGCUAUAGAUAAAUGUAAUAGAAGGGUCUCAUCAUAUAAUCAUUUAUUAAGUUUAAUUUACAUAAUUUGAUUCUUAAAGACAGAAAAACAAAAUAUUUACAUGGUAUUAAAAUUGGUACUAAUAAAAUGACUUAUUAUUAUGGAUGUAUAAUAAAAGAAAAUCUGUGAAAAAAAAAUAGUUAUUAAGAUAUUUAAAAUAUAUGUUACACAAAACUAAUCAUAACUUUCCACCGAUAAAAGAUAGUAUAGAAUUAAUAUUAUUAUCUUUAUAAAUUCCAUA